UUCUAUAGUUCGCUUUUAUGU
rnacentral:piRNA from 1 species